rnacentral:misc_RNA from 1 species
AAGGGUUCGUCGGAUAACUGGUGAUGUUAUAUCGAGAGUGUAAUUUGAGGAGGAUCAGAGCGAAAGGAUUUCUCUUGGGGGAGGCUAACGGAAAGCUCAGUGGCCGUGAUUAACCGCAGCCUAUGCACCCACGGAUCUAGGGCAUUAAAGACAUUUCAAAGCCAUACUGGUGUAACGUGGAAGUCAGGCGGUCCAUGCGGCGGUCCCUGAUUCGUAAAAAUUUAGAUACGAGUAGGCUCAUUCGCGUUGGAUUGAAGCCUCUUUCCUAAUUGGAGUCUUCUGGAGAGAAAGGGUUCGUCGGAUAACUGGUACACACGCAGUGGGCUGCACAAGAGAGGAAAAUACAGAAACAGAGGAAUCAGAAACAAAGAAAACAUAAACAGUGUCACCCCAGAAAGCAAAUCUCAGUCCACAUAUACAAACACUUACUGGUAUGCCAAGUUUCACUUAUGAUUCCUUUAUGUGUUGCCUUUCUGUGCCCCAAAAGUUUGUGUCUUUGCACUUUUCCCUAUUCGAUGCGUUUUUUGUUUCAUAUUUUUUUGAUCGUAUUUCGAGCUCAAUGCAUUUCAAUCUGCUCAAUUUUAGUUUUUUGGUUUAGGGUUUAGGGUUCCACACCCUGCCUUGAUCCUUUUAUAUGUAGAUUUAUCAAUCUCUCGUUUAUGGAUUUAGUAUUGAUUCAUGUCCGUCCUCACUCCUGCUGUCGUUUUGUUUAGCAUUAAUUGGGGUUCAAAUGGGUUUAUGUUAAUGGGAUCGUUUAUUGUGUUUCCUUUGAUAAUUUACAAAUUAUUAUGUUUUGUCCAAUUUGAGACGGAAUGCUAUCUUUUUUUCUUUCUUUUUUUUUCCCAAUUCGGGAUUGACCAUAAAAAUUUUAUCUUUGAUUUGAAACGCGAUUGUUUAAAAUUUGUAUUUGUUUUACUGGACAUUUUUACUAUUGGUUCUACUCUGCAAUUUUCUCUUGUCUAGCUAUCUUCCACUUUUCUAGAUGUUGUAGAAAGGUGGAAUAAUGAGGAAAUAUUGCAAAAUUCAUCUUAAUUCAACCAAUUAAUACUCUGGUUCCAACACAAUCUCAGUGGAUUUAUAAUUUUUUUUCAUUUUUAUUCUUUUUUUUUCCAGGAUUCAAUGCAAUGGAAAGUUUAGGUUUUUAUGUUUCAUUUUUCCUUGUUUCUACUCUGAUUCCUCAUCCAACAAUUCGAGCAACAAAAAUUAGUUGGUCUGUCCUCAAGGCAUGUGUCAUAUUUGACGUAGAAGUAAUUUGGCAAGUUCUCAUAACUGCUGCUCCUUUUAGCAGCUAAAUUUUGUAGCUUCCCAGUUUCUACCUGACACAUGGGUAGUUUUUCAAACUUUGCAUGUCCUCCCAGCCUUAUGUUCCUCUUU